UCUGGCAGCUAUCUCUUUGCAACUCUCACAUGGUCCCACUACCUCUGAAGCUAAGCAGGACUGCACCCGGUCAGUACCUGGAUGGGAGACCACAUGGGAAAGCUAGGUUGAUGCCAAAA
ensembl:rRNA 5S_rRNA 5S ribosomal RNA